rnacentral:rRNA from 1 species
AAAAUGUCUAAUUUUAAGGCGAAGUGGCCUCGGACCUAGCUGUUGGUAGGUACGCUUACAAGCUACGAUUUAAGGAUCGAGAGGGAUGCCCCAACUGUACUGAGACCGGACAGCUCCCACGGAGCAGCAGUAGAAUAUGUCAUGACGAGUCUGACAGCAUGCGCGUGCAGAAGACGCCCUAUGGGUGUAAACUGCUCUGCAGGGGAAUAAACUCGAUACGUGUAUCGAGCUGAAUGUACUCUGAGAAUAAGGAUCGGCUAACUCCGUGCCAGCAGCGCGGUAAUACGGAGGAUGCAAGCGUUAUCCGGAUUUAUUGGGUUUAAAGGGUGCGUAGGUGGCCUGUUAAGUCAGGGGUGAAAGACGGUAGCUCAACUAUCGCAGUGCCCUUGAUACUGAUGGGCUUGAAUGAACUGGAGGUAGGCGGAAUGUGACAAGUAGCGGUGAAAUGCAUAGAUAUGUCACAGAACACCAAUUGCGAAGGCAGCUUACUAUGGUUUUAUUGACACUGAGGCACGAAAGCGUGGGGAUCAAACAGGAUUAGAUACCCUGGUAGUCCACGCCCUAAACGAUGAAUACUCGAUGUUGGCGAUAUACGGUCAGCGUCUAAGCGAAAGCGUUAAGUAUUCCACCUGGGGAGUACGCCCGCAAGGGUGAAACUCAAAGGAAUUGACGGGGGCCCGCACAAGCGGAGGAGCAUGUGGUUUAAUUCGAUGAUACGCGAGGAACCUUACCCGGGCUUGAAAGUUAGUGAAUAAAGCAGAGACGCUUUAGUCCUUCGGGACACGAAACUAGGUGCUGCAUGGCUGUCGUCAGCUCGUGCCGUGAGGUGUUGGGUUAAGUCCCGCAACGAGCGCAACCCCUAUGUUUAGUUGCCAGCACGUUAAGGUGGGGACUCUAAACAGACUGCCUAUGCAAAUAGAGAGGAAGGAGGGGACGACGUCAAGUCAUCAUGGCCCUUACGUCCGGGGCUACACACGUGCUACAAUGGAUGGUACAGAGGGCAGCUACCUGGCAACAGGAUGCCAAUCUCACAAAGCCAUUCACAGUUCGGAUCGGGGUCUGCAACUCGACCCCGUGAAGUUGGAUUCGCUAGUAAUCGCAGAUCAGCAAUGCGCGAUGUAG